GACGAACGCUGGCGGCGUGCCUAAUACAUGCAAGUUGAGCGCUGAAGGUUGGUACUUGUACCGACUGGAUGAGCAGCGAACGGGUGAGUAACGCGUGGGGAAUCUGCCAUUGAGCGGGGGACAACAUUUGGAAACGAAUGCUAAUACCGCAUAAAAACUUUAAACACAAGUUUUAAGUUUGAAAGAUGCAAUUGCAUCACUCAAAGAUGAUCCCGCGUUGUAUUAGCUAGUUGGUGAGGUAAAGGCUCACCAAGGCGAUGAUACAUAGCCGACCUGAGAGGGUGAUCGGCCACAUUGGGACUGAGACACGGCCCAAACUCCUACGGGAGGCAGCAGUAGGGAAUCUUCGGCAAUGGACGAAAGUCUGACCGAGCAACGCCGCGUGAGUGAAGAAGGUUUUCGGAUCGUAAAACUCUGUUGGUAGAGAAGAACGUUGGUGAGAGUGGAAAGCUCAUCAAGUGACGGUAACUACCCAGAAAGGGACGGCUAACUACGUG
rnacentral:rRNA from 1 species